rnacentral:rRNA from 1 species
GAUGAACGCUAGCGGCAGGCCUAACACAUGCAAGCGAGGGUAACGUGAGUGCUUGCACUUGACGACGACCGGCGCACGGGUGCGGAACGCGUAUGGAACCACCUUUAUCAGGGAGAUAGCCCAUGGAAACGUGGAUUAAUACCCAUAGUAUUAUUUCAUUGCAUAAUGAUUUAAUUAAAGAAUUUCGGAUAGAGAUGGCCAUGCGUAUCAUUAGCUAGUAGGCGAGGUAACGGCUCACCUAGGCGACGAUGAUUAGGGGUCCUGAGAGGGAGAUCCCCCACACUGGUACUGAGACACGGACCAGACUCCUACGGGAGGCAGCAGUGAGGAAUAUUGGGCAAUGGAGGCAACUCUGACCCAGCCAUGCCGCGUGCAGGAAGACGGCCCUAUGGGUUGUAAACUGCUUUUAUACAGGAAGAACACCACCCACGUGUGGGUGACUGACGGUACUGUAAGAAUAAGGACCGGCUAACUCCGUG